rnacentral:lncRNA from 1 species
GGGGUGUCAUGUCCUGCUCUCAGGAAGCGGGGGGACACUCCAAUUCCCGAAUCCCUGAUGGCGUAGACGAAAGCAAGAGAAAUCUCAAGGGCCACAUAUAAACAUUUAUUAGUUUCCAAAAUGAUUAGUCCAGGUCUUAACGAGGCCACGUUAAUUGGUUGGGUAUAAAAGGAAUUACAGCAGGAGGUACUUAAGGUCAUUACUUAAUGACUCUGUUACUUAACAACAAGAAACCGAGGCAUGGAGAAAGGAAGAGGUGGAGAAAAAGACGGAGAUAAACAGAUCACGGGGCCUGGUUCCAGCAGCUUUUUCGGGCAAUCUUCCCAGGGACCAUCUUUUCUUGGGAAAAACCUUCCCAGGCACCAUCUUCCUUUUGUGGGAAAACCUUCCCAGGCACCAUCUUGCUGGGGAAAAACCUUCCCAAGCUCCAUCUUUUUUGGGAAAAACCUUCCCUGGAUCAAUCUUUCUUGGGGAAAAACCUUCCCAGGCACCAUCUUCUUCUUUAUUCUCUCCAGUGGCCCUUAUUUCUCCUCAUCCCAGGGUUGUCUCCCCAAGUCCCAGCAGUUCUGUGAGCCCCAAUGAGGACUUGGGGGGCCUUUUCCCACCCCCCCUCAGGGUAUUUCCAGCCUGGAGCAUCCCAAUGUGUGUCCCACGGUGAUCAGGGAAAGCUGCUGGGACCCCCUGUAGUACAAGGAGCCAGGGGGCUUCUCCCCCAGCCAGGACCUGCCAUGCCCUCAGUGUCCCCUCCAGCGGUCCCCGGCAGGGGGGGAUUAAGGUAGAGCCCCCCCUUGCUCUUAACACUCCUUGAUUCACGCCAAAACCUCCUCUGGAGCCCCCACGCUCCUCCUUUCACCCAAAAAUAACAGGAACCUCCCCAGAAGGUAACAGCGUUACCUCUCCAUGGACCAGGAUUGCCCCCCCCCCGCCCCGCCACCUUCCUGGCCUCAGGAGGAGAGGGGACCCCCCCAGCCGUGAGCAAGGGGAGGGACCCCCAGCAGCAAAGGGGAGGGGACCCCCAUGAGCAAGGACCAGGUGCAAAGAUGUUUUGGAGGUUUAUUUUACANNNNNNNNNNNNNNNNNNNNNNNNNNNNNNNNNNNNNNNNNCCAGUGAGGGCCAGACCCCCCAAGGGGGUGCAGAUAGGUGGUACUUGUGGGGGAGGGGGGGAUGCCCCCCCCCCGGGGUUAUUCCCACCGGCUCACAGUCUCUAGAAAGCUGGAGGGGUCACAGCAGGAGUGACCCGGGUGACGGAGGACAUCGGGGGGCUCAGCCGGCCUGUCGGGAGGAGAGAAGAAGGAGGCGGCGUGAAGGGGGGUGGGGGGGCGAGUCCUGUCCCUGCCUGUACCCUCCUGCUAGCCAUGGGGCCUGAUCCUGCCCCACAGAUUGGCCUGGAGGGGGAAGCCUGUACUUUGCCUCCCCCAGUUUUCCAAGCCCAGAGCGUCAUCAUCCUGGCCCCACGUCCUUCCCCCCAUCUCUACAGGGAGAGAAACCAGUCCCUGGGGCUGUUUCGGGGUGGGGGGGGGGU